rnacentral:rRNA from 1 species
CGGGCGUAGCAUACGUCAGCGGCAGACGGGUGAGUAACGCGUGGGAACGUACCUUUUGGUUCGGAACAACACAGGGAAACUUGUGCUAAUACCGGAUAAGCCCUUACGGGGAAAGAUUUAUCGCCGAAAGAUCGGCCCGCGUCUGAUUAGCUAGUUGGUAGGGUAAUGGCCUACCAAGGCGACGAUCAGUAGCUGGUCUGAGAGGAUGAUCAGCCACAUUGGGACUGAGACACGGCCCAAACUCCUACGGGAGGCAGCAGUGGGGAAUAUUGGACAAUGGGGGCAACCCUGAUCCAGCCAUGCCGCGUGAGUGAUGAAGGCCCUAGGGUUGUAAAGCUCUUUUGUGCGGGAAGAUAAUGACGGUACCGCAAGAAUAAGCCCCGGCUAACUUCGUGCCAGCAGCCGCGGUAAUACGAAGGGGGCUAGCGUUGCUCGGAAUCACUGGGCGUAAAGGGUGCGUAGGCGGGUCUUUAAGUCAGGGGUGAAAUCCUGGGAGCUCAACUC